rnacentral:rRNA from 1 species
AUCGAACGCUGGCGGCAGGCCUAACACAUGCAAGUCGAACGAACUCUUCGGAGUUAGUGGCGGACGGGUGAGUAACACGUGGGAGCGUGCCUUUAGGUUCGGAAUAACGCAGGGAAACUUGUGCUAAUACCGAAUGUGCCCUUCGGGGGAAAGAUUUAUCGCCUUUAGAGCGGCCCGCGUCUGAUUAGCUAGUUGGUGAGGUAAAGGCUCACCAAGGCGACGAUCAGUAGCUGGUCUGAGAGGAUGAUCAGCCACAUUGGGACUGAGACACGGCCCAAACUCCUACGGGAGGCAGCAGUGGGGAAUCUUGCGCAAUGGGCGAAAGCCUGACGCAGCCAUGCCGCGUGAAUGAUGAAGGUCUUAGGAUUGUAAAAUUCUUUAACCGGGGACGAUAAUGACGGUACCCGGAGAAGAAGCCCCGGCUAACUUCGUG